CCUACGGGACGCACCAGUGGGGAAUAUUGCACAAUGGGCGCAAGCCUGAUGCAGCCAUGCCGCGUGUAUGAAGAAGGCCUUCGGGUUGUAAAGUACUUUCAGCGGGGAGGAAGGUGUUGAGGUUAAUAACCUCAGCAAAUGACGUUACCCGCAGAAGAAGCACCGGCUAACUCCGUGCCAGCAGCCGCGGUAAUACGGAGGGUGCAAGCGUUAAUCGGAAUUACUGGGCGUAAAGCGCACGCAGGCGGUCUGUCAAGUCGGAUGUGAAAUCCCCGGGCUCAACCUGGGAACUGCAUUCGAAACUGGCAGGCUAGAGUCUUGUAGAGGGGGGUAGAAUUCCAGGAGUAGCGGUGAAAUGCGUAGAGAUCUGGAGGAAUACCGGUGGCGAAGGCGGCCCCCUGGACAAAGACUGACGCUCAGGUGCGAAAGCGUGGGGAGCAAACAGGAUUAGAUACCCCCGUAGUC
rnacentral:rRNA from 1 species